rnacentral:rRNA from 1 species
UGGGGAAUUUUGGACAAUGGGCGCAAGCCUGAUCCAGCAAUGCCGCGUGCAGGAUGAAGGCCUUCGGGUUGUAAACUGCUUUUGUACGGAACGAAAAGCCUCUCUCUAAUACAGGGGGGUGAUGACGGUACCGUAAGAAUAAGCACCGGCUAACUACGUGCCAGCAGCCGCGGUAAUACGUAGGGUGCAAGCGUUAAUCGGAAUUACUGGGCGUAAAGCGUGCGCAGGCGGUUUUGUAAGACAGUGGUGAAAUCCCCGGGCUCAACCUGGGAACUGCCAUUGUGACUGCAAGGCUGGAGUGCGGCAGAGGGGGAUGGAAUUCCGCGUGUAGCAGUGAAAUGCGUAGAUAUGCGGAGGAACACCGAUGGCGAAGGCAAUCCCCUGGGCCUGCACUGACGCUCAUGCACGAAAGCGUGGGGAGCAAACAGGAUUAGAUACCCUGGUAGUCCACGCCCUAAAACGAUGUCAACUGGUUGUUGGGGAUUUAUUUCUUCAGUAACGAAGCUAA